GAACUCAAGCAACCAUGCAUAUCAAAAAAUAAAUUUCAUGAACAGAAUUGUGGAAUUGAGAGCAAUUUCAAAAUUGUCUUACUUUUUUUGAUACACCCUGUAUAGAGUACUGGAAUAUCAAAAUUUCAAAUAAGUUUGUUGCAAAAUUUAAUACUACCAUUGAAAAGAUCUUGAAAAUCUGGUCAAAAAUAUAUAAAAUCUGGUCAAAAAUAUAUAAAAUCUGGUCAAAAAUAUAUAAAAUCUGGUCAAAAAUAUAUAAAAUCUGGUCAAAAAUAUAAGGCUUGCCAUGAUCGGAUUUAACUUUACAAAUAUAUUAAUUGUCAAAGCUUGCAAAAAAGUGCUGACUCGGGCAAAUUUAACCAACUUUACGGCUUGAUAUCUCCGGAACGGUAGGUCCGAUCAUGGCAAGCCUUAUAUAUUUUGACUAGAUUUUCAAGACCUUUUCAAUGGUAUUGAUAAUUUUGCAACAAACGUAUUUGAAAUUUGAUAUUCCAGCAUUCUUAUAUAAAACUGGCCGAGCACCAGGCUUGUAAGGCGAAAACAAUGCUGAAGGCCCCCGACACGCUCCCGUCCGUAUAACAUCGAUUUUCGAAAUCAGCGCCCUCGAAUUGACCAAACUGACUAAGAUUUGGUCUCAUAAAUUUCGCUUUUUGGCGACGAUUCCCCUAUUCUCCGCCCGGUCCAUACCAACCGCUCAGGAACCAAUCAAAAUGCCCCAUUUUGCAGAUGGACCGCCUUGCCAUAUAACAAUAAAUAUUAAAGGCAAGUUUGUAAUUUUGUAAAUAAGGUAUACAAAUUACAAUCUUAUUUGGUAAACUUAAAAUUAGAAAAUUCUUCGCAACAAAACGUUCUAUUGAGUGUUACGUCGCUAUAGCGACGAAAUUAAAAGUGAGUUUGGCAACCAACAACGGCGACGGCCGAAACCAAAUUACUGAUACUUUUGUAUUUGAGCGAAAACACAGCCUCGUACCCAGGCGCAAACAACGUACUAAAAAUAGCAACACUGCAGUGUUUUUAUAUAGAUCAGUGGCUAAGAUGAGCGGGGGUGCUUGGCCGGGGAGGACACGACGGGCGCGCUCAUCUUAGCCACUGAUCUAUAUAAAAACAAAGUAUGGUUGCUAUUUUUAGUACGUUAUUUGCGCCUGGGUACGAGGCUGGCGAAAACAUACAUUACUAAACCUUUAAAUAGUACUUAAAAUCCUCAUUAAAAAUUCAUAUAAACCUUGUAGCAAAUCAUGUCAGCCAUAACAUGUCACGUGCAGUGACUUUAUAUUUGAUAAAAGUCAUCCUAAAGGCCCAUUUACACGAUACGAUUAGUUGUAUACGAUUGUCAUUCUGACGAAUGAAAACGAGUGCUAAUGCCACGUUAUUGCUCAUUCGCUAAUGGCGAAAUUUGAAAUGUGACGUUUGUACGCGUGUUUAUUCAAUCACAUACGCCAGAGUAAGAAUCGUAUACAACUAAUCGUACCGUGUAAAUGGGCC